rnacentral:rRNA from 1 species
ACUAAACAGCUAGCUCUACCCAAAAUGAUCAAGCCAACAAUGUUAGUCAACCCAUCAAGAACUGACCCCACCAAUCAAACCAUUUGACCACCCCAGUAUGGGCGACAGAAAAGGACCAACGAAGCUAUAGACAAAGUACCGCAAGGGAACGCUGAAAGAGAGCUGAAAUAGCACCCCAAAGUACGUAGAAGCAGAGGCUAGGCCUCGUACCUUUUGCAUCAUGAUCUAGCCAGCAACCCCGAGCGGAGAGACCUCUAGUUUGGGCCCCCGAAACCUGGACGAGCUACUCCGGGACAGCCUAUUGCAGGGCCAACCCGUCUCUGUGGCAAAAGAGUGGGAAGAUCCCCGAGUAGAGGUGAAAUAUCUAACGAGUCAGGUUAUAGCUGGUUGCCUAGGAAAUGAAUAGAAGUUCAGCCCCGCUAGACCCUAAACCACAGUGGUUUUACCCAAAUCAGGUAUAAGGAUACCUGCGGGAGUUAGUCAAAGGAGGUACAGCUCCCUUAACAAAGGACACAACCUUCACAGGAGGCUAAGAAAUAAAGCAAGUAAAAGCACAGGUUCCAGUGGGCCUGAAAGCAGCCACCUGAGCAGAAAGCGUCAAAGCUCGUACCAGAUCAAGCUUAUUAUAACAUCAAACAUCUUUCUAUGCCCCUUACCAAUACUAGGCCCCCCUAUGCCCCCAUAGGAGAGACCAUGCUAGGACGAGUAAUAAGAAGAACGAACUUCUCCCUGCACAUGUGUAAGUCGAGCCGGACAUACCACCGACAACUAACGAACCCAAAAGAAGAGGGCAGUGCGCCACCGCCAUAUUAGGCCAGGAAGAGCACGCACGUCCCAUCGUUACCCCUACACAGGAGUGCCCUGGUCGCGGGAAAGACUUAAAGAAUGAAAAGGAACUCGGCAAACCCAAACCUCGCCUGUUUACCAAAAACAUCGCCUCCUGCUACUAGCAACAUAGGAGGUCCCGCCUGCCCUGUGACCAAAAGUUUAACGGCCGCGGUAUCGUAACCGUGCAAAGGUAGCGCAAUCAAUUGUCUCUUAAAUGGGGACCUGUAUGAAUGGCAUAACGAGGGUUUAACUGUCUCUUUUCUCCGGUCAAUGAAACUGAUCUGCCCGUGCAGAAGCGGGCAUGUUAACACAAGACGAGAAGACCCUAUGGAGCUUUAGACGCCCUCCAGCUGCAGAAAGCACUCCGGCACAACGGACUAUCAAACGGUGCAGCCCUGACACAAGCGUCUUAGGUUGGGGUGACCACGGGGGAAAACAAAGCCCCUGAGAGGGUUGGGAACAAUCCUAAAACUGAGAGCUACAGCUCUAGGUCGCAAAACAUUUGACCGACAAUGAUCCGGCCGCCCGCCGAUCAACGGACCAAGUUACCCUAGGGAUAACAGCGCAAUCCUCUCCCAGAGCCCAUAUCGACGAGGGGGUUUACGACCUCGAUGUUGGAUCAGGACAUCCUAAUGGUGCAACCGCUGUUAAGGGUUCGUUUGUUCAACGAUUAAAGUCCUACGUGAUCUGAGUUCAGACCGGAGUAAUCCAGGUCAGUUUCUAUCUGUGACGCCACCUUUCCUAGUACGAAAGGACCGGAACGAUGAGGCCCAUGCCACUGGUACGCCUCCCCCCAGCCUGCUGAAGACAACUAAAGCAGGGGAAGGGGGCAACCCUCAGCCCAAAAGAAGGGCAUU